rnacentral:lncRNA from 1 species
CAGAGGAGGACGGGCCAUGGAAGGAGUUGGGACUUUCCCCCUUUUGGCCCUUGGCACCUUCAUCAGAACUUAGCCUGGGACUCCUUUCUCCGCUGACCUGGGGCAGCCAGUCUUGCAACCAAAGCCCUCUGCUGAAACGCUCCGUGCAGCCCUGUCUACUGAGGGCUCAGGAUCUUCACCUUGCUACUUGACCAGUCCUGGGACUCCAUCCUCAGCUCACUACAGGCAACACCCUUCAAAGCAAGAUCCUUGCUUCAAUGGGACCUCAGAUUUGGACAUUCAGGGCCGAAAUGACAGUCACCUCAACCUGACAGCUCUUCCUGAGCUUCCCAAGUCACAGGAGAGGCUUUUGGUUUUGGACCAUGAGAAUGGCUUACAUAUUCAAAAGGUUGGAUUUGGGAAGCAAUGCUAAGCAGUGGAAUGGACAUCGACAUAGAGAGAUCAGCUCCACACUUAUACUCUGCCACUCAACUUCCCCAUGUGACUUGAGGAUCACUCUAACUCCAAAACAUAGCAAGCUCGCGGAACAUCAGGGUUCAUGCAAAGUAUUCCAAGGAGCCCCUUGAAGCAACAGAAUGGAUUGCUCUUCUAUGGUGGAAUGGCACCCUGGAUGAUUAAAACCGUAGCAGCAAACAAAACCUCCAUCAAGUAAGAAUUCAGAGUGUGAGAUAUCACGCACAGCCACGCGUGGAUCUUUAUAUACGUGUCAAUGUGUUUGAUUGUAUUUUUGCUUUCAAAGUAUGUAUUGAGCAUUUCUUCUAGGUCCUCAGUAACAUCUUUUUAAAAAAAAAAUAAAUGCUUAGGGAAUUGUUUUAUAUUAAACUCGCUUCCAUUGUUAUCAACUUGGAGAGUGUCCCUCAUACAUGGAGCUCUCUCACAGGAUUGACUUUUCAUAUUAGGAGUGUAAAUAAAAGUUGUUCCUUGGUUUGUGUAUUACAGAUAUUCCUGAAAACAGAGUCAAGUUAUAUUUCUAAAGUACUAGCGUCUGCUUAAAGAAAUGACAAGGUGAAGUCUUUCACAAAGUAAGCAUUCAAUGUAUGAUUUCUCUGCUAUGUAAAUCUGGUUGUUCAUACAGUUUCUAUGACAUAAUUGGCCACGAC